AGAUGGCUGCGAGAGGUUGCUCCAUCUCCACCAUAAUGCCCUGGGAAAGGAGCCUUCCCUCUGCGUGCUCCUGCUCGUGCAACGACGUGGCCCUACUGUUUUGCGUCAGGAGAUGAGAGCACGUGUGGCUGCUCCGUGCUCCUCCGACCAUGCCCUGCUCAUGCCGACGCCAUGGAGCCUGUCAAGGUAAGAGCACAAAGGGACCAGCGGCGGAGGCCUACUACAAUUGCAACGUUCACUUUCUGAAUUUGCUAUUCUUGGAUUUGAAUUGGGCUACUCCAUGGAGAAACCGAAUUCGCCAGUAUUCUGGGAAGCUCAGUUUGGUGAUUUCUCCAAUGGUGCACAAGUGAUAUUCGACCAGUUUCUGAGUAGUGUAGCAGCCAAAUGGCUCCGCCAAACUGGCCUUGUUGGUCUACUGUCUCAUCGUUAUGAUGGCAAGGUCCUGAACACUCCAUCUCCCGUCUUGAGCGCUUCCUUCAGAAGGACCAGAGAGAGAAGGUGAAGAAAAAGGAAAAGCCCCUACUGUUCAUUUUUCCAUUGAGUUGAUUUCCUCGCUGUCCAUCAUCAUGGUUUCAGUUUAUCGUCUGGUUCCGUCGAGAUCGAUGAUGAAGAUGUCAAUGCCCAUGGAAGUGGCAAGCAGAUCACCAGGCAGAAGUUGAGGCGAUCAUCAGUUACCAGUAGUCGUCAUGAAGAAGCCAAGGCCAUGCAGCUGUUGGUGAUGGGACCUGUCAGGAUGCCCACCAAGGUGCUCAACAUCAGCACCAGGAAGUCCCCCCUGUGGCGCAAGAAGCCCGUGAACUCGUCUGUGUGGGCCUCCUUGGGUGCGAUGGCGGCGGUGGCGGUAUACGGCCUUGUCUACAACUGUGCGCGAUGAACUCGCGAACUAGUUCGCAGGCGGCCUAGUCCUUCCAGUGAGCAAUGAUAUGGCAGUUUCUACGAGAUGCAAGCAUGAUUGUGCUUGUCGCCCAGGACCAGGAUGUCGACGUAUGGUGUGCACCAGGAGGCGAACUCGUGCGGCUCAAGGACAGAUUGUUGUGAUGAUCUAUCUGGGUUGUCUAGAAAAAUCCCAAUUUUGAGUGAAGAGUGGAUCCUGUUUGCUACAAUCUUUAAUACUAGUGUCGAUGUUGCCUAACCAUUGUUCGAGGCUGAAGAAGCAAAUAGAUGAUCUGGAUGAGAAGAUGGUGGUGACUGACUCUUCUCCCGAGUCUUUGGCGUCCAAGUAGAUCCAGGAUGGUGAGGACGGCGAAAAGAAAAGAUCUUUGCUGGAGAUGGUGCACCCACACCCAUCGGGCUAUUCUUCCGGAGGGCAAAGCGGGCAAGAAGAGGGGUCAAUGGAGCUUGGAGCUCUAUGGGAAGUCUGGUGGUUUUGCUUUAUAUUUCGAUUUUUACAUGUGAAUGGGACGUUGUUUGCCUCGUUUUGCCGGGUGCUCAUGUUGUAUCCAACAUAUGUCUUUUUGAAAAGCAAUGUCAUGCUUCUCUAUGGGAGACGAGAGGUGCAUUUGGGAAGUCGCAAAAUCAUUGCUUU